UACGGGUAUAAGUAAAGUUUCAUAUUUUCCAAAACAAAAAGUGAAAUACGUUUUGAAAAACUAUGGCCAAACACAUUUUUAAAACUUGAAAAUCUUCACCCAAAUCAAGUUAUUCAAUUUUUUUUUUUUUUUGGGCAAUCUAUGGCCAGAUGCUAGCUAAGUCUUGUAUGUUUCUUCAAGUUUUGCUCAUAAAAGUGUAAAAAGAGACAUUUUAAGCAUGAAUAGAAAGUUGAAAAGCUGUUAUCCGAACUUGUGUAUAUACAGUUCUGUUAGAAAAAUUUAUCUAAAUUUUUGGUAGUUUAAAAUGGAAAGGCUACUGUUACGUGCCUAAUUUGAGAUAAAAUCUAGUUUAUUUGUUAUUGUCCUUGUCCAAGCUUUAAGCUGAUGGUUACGUCUUUCCAAAACUAGACGGUUCUGCAUAAGGGGUCCGUUCCCAUUUUUUCAUAUAAAACAUAUGAUAUAGAUUAAUGAGAUUUUAAAUGGUCUUUGUUUACGAUUUAGCUCAUUUGGCAUUUUGCUGUUUUUACAGCUUUUAAUUCAUUUAUAUCUGAAUGUAUGUUGCCAUUUAAAUCAGGGCCUACACUACUAAAGAAAAACUGGUUUAGCGACAGAUUUUAGCCGCAAACUGAUUUCCGUCGCUAUGGCUACCGAAUUAUAUUUUUAUCGCCAAAAAAGCAAAAAAAAUAAUUGGCAGCUAAUAUAGCGACGGAAAUUCAAAUCCGUCGCUAAACUUUGGCGCGAAAUUUACGCGCCUUCAGUUUAGCUACAAAAUUAGCGACAAAAGCAGGGGGAACAAAAUUUGUUAAAAAUUAGCGACGGAUGUUUUGUCGCUAGUUAUAUUUCAUUCAUCAAGAUAUUUUAAGAUCGGUUGCUACGAAAGAUCCGUCGUUAAAAUAAGUUCAAAAUUAAAAUUUCAAGUUAUCUAUAGCGACGAAAUUUUUUCUGUCGCUACAUAUUUUUUAGGAGUUAUUUUUUGGGCACAGUGAAUAUAACAAAGUCUGAAACAUAUACGCCUCCUCUCGCUAUCUUCUCCUAGGGCUUUCUCGUCGCCUAUGCAGCUUUUAAUUUUUAUAGGGUUUUAUAUCUCAGGUAUUAUGUAUUUCUCUGCUCUGAUUAGUUGUCAUUUUUUAUCCAAUUGAAUUUCUUUUGAGCAAGCUAUCUUCUCCUAGGGCUUUAUAGGGUAAGAACGAGGGUCAAUCAUCCAUUUUUUGUUGUUAUUUCCCAUGGUUUAAGGUCCUUAUCUCUAUCCAUAUUACUGUUCUAGGAAUAGGAAAAACAGGAAUGUUCAGCAGGAGAAAACCUUAUAGCUAAUAACUUAUAUAGAAACCUUAUAGCUAAUAACUUAUAUAGUUAAUACUUAAUAAGUUUCUUAAACAUUUUUAUACACCAAUAUUUGAUGCUUAAACUUAUUAUAUCUACUUGUUUUUAUAUUUGAGCUCAAAUCCUUGUAUUGUCUUCCUUUUUCAAGAUUUUUCAGUGGAACUGUUUCGUACUAUGAACUUGUUUGUUGCCUAUCUCAACGGAAUUUCUACAAUGACAACUAGCUCUGUAUGCUUUUUUCCUUUGGAUCUACUCCUUUUCAGCUCAUUCUUAAGAUUUGUUCGUUCUUAGCUCGCUUCUGAUUAUGUUCCCUUAAUUAACAAUUUAUAGAAUUAGAGACGGACUAAUUUUGUUUUCUUCGAUAUUUUAGAAAAUAACUAAGCAGGAACCGUAGAGUACUAACAAUGAUGAAUCCUCAUCCCAAAUAAUGCUUGACAGCUCCAUCUCAGUGGAAGUGUCAUGAAAGGAGUUCAAUCUUUGAGUUGUAAACAUCAUAAGUUAUUUUUGUGAAUUCCAGAUUGUAGUGUGCUAGAUUUGGUCAACCAUAAUCAUUUAGAAUAAUGUUUCUAUUAUUCAUUUAACGGUGUUACCUGAUUAAUCUGUCUACUGUUAUCUGUUAUCUAUUAUUUUGUGUCCAGCAUGCAAGGGAACUACGUCAAAAUGAGACUUCUUGGACAUGUUAUGUACUUUUCAUGUCCCACUAAAACAUGUGCAUUUGCAAAUCUAAACAUGAACACAUAAAAAUACAGCAAGCUUAUAUCUGUGGUUGGAGAAACAUGAGACUGCUUUUAUCAUUGAAGAGGCAGACACCAACUACUUUAAUUAGCCAGUCCUUUUAAAUCAGAAAGAUUAAAAAAAAAAAGACUGGUUCUCUGUUUUUACUUUUGUAAAAUACCAACAACUUAAUGUGAAGAUUGGGGACGAACCUUUUGCUUUUUAAGUAGUUCUUACGAGUCUUUUCAACUUUAUGUAAGAGUCUACAGUUUUUAAGAUAGAGUGUACUUAUAAUAUCAUCUAUUUUAGCAAGUAUCCAGCCAUGUCAAAUAUCCAUAUUGGACACAACCACAAAAUGUGUAUACAUGCUGUCAUGUUUAGUUGCUCAUUGCUUGAUCAAUUAUCAAAUUCAGUAUAAUGUGUAUCAAUUGUUUGAGGAACUAUUUCUUUAGAUCUUUUACCUAUUGUCUUCCUUUUCUGGAAAGUGAUUUCAGGAGUAGGAGAAUUGUGGAUGUGUCGAUGCAUAUCAUGACGAACCUUAUGGUGAUACAACUCCGAUAGUUACUUUCAAACUGAUGGAACGAUUUUAAGUUGAGGUUUUUGUGUAGAUCUGCGUAUAGAGUUCCAAGUGGGUGUUCUUUUCGAGCAGAUACAUAUUGAAUGGAGUGUUCUACUUGUGAAGUUUUCAUGAUAAGUGUAACAAUUUUGAAUAUGUUCUUUGCCUUCUAUUUUUCUGGAUUAUGAUAUUAAAUUAAUUGCUUAUACAAAAUGAAUUUUGUUUGGUUAGGCGAACUGUGAUACAUUUGCAUGUUUAAACACACGAUGGUGCUGAAAAAUCUCUUCGUUCGUGGCAACCUAUCUCGAAUUGUGCAUUGAAGUAAAACGUUUUGUGAGCUUAUUGACCUUAUAGAUGACAUAUUUAUAUCCUUUUUCUUGGAUAAAUAAAAAGUUUUCAUCUGCUCAAAAAGUGUUAAGCAACAAUGAUCACAAAAGCAAUUACAUUAGGAUGAGAUGGAUGUUGCAACUCGGAUGUGUUACGAGACCGUGGGAGGAGGAGAUGAGGAGAAGAGUUUAUGGCCUUGGGUCUCACGAGAAACACUAUUAUGGCCUUGGGUGCUACUUCUGAUCUUGAUAAACAUCACUCUCCAACACCACAUUAGUUAGCUUUGUUUUUUGGAUUCUAUUCUAUUAGUUGUAAAAUUAUGAAAAUUGGUGAGGCUUUAGGAUUUAUGUAUUGGAUCUGCUUGUUUUUUAUAAUAAAUUGGGUUCUUGUAAUGCUAUUAAAUAUUACUACUUUUCAUUUAAUAUGUUCUUAUAUGGAAUUUGAAUAAUAUAUAA